rnacentral:rRNA from 1 species
GGGGAAUAUUGCACAAUGGGGGAAACCCUGAUGCAGCGACGCCGCGUGGAGGAAGAAGGUCUUCGGAUUGUAAACUCCUGUUGUUGAGGAAGAUAAUGACGGUACUCAACAAGGAAGUGACGGCUAACUACGUGCCAGCAGCCGCGGUAAAACGUAGGUCACAAGCGUUGUCCGGAAUUACUGGGUGUAAAGGGAGCGCAGGCGGGAAGACAAGUUGGAAGUGAAAUCCAUGGGCUCAACUCAUGAACUGCUUUCAAAACUGUUUUUCUUGAGUAGUGCAGAGGUAGGCGGAAUUCCCGGUGUAGCGGUGGAAUGCGUAGAUAUCGGGAGGAACACCAGUGGCGAAGGCGGCCUACUGGGCACCAACUGACGCUGAGGCUCGAAAGUGUGGGUAGCAAACAGGAUUAGAUACCCUGGUAGUCCACACCGUAAACGAUGAUUACUAGGUGUUGGAGGAUUGACCCCUUCAGUGCCGCAGUUAACACAAUAAGUAAUCCACCUGGGGAGUACGACCGCAAGGUUGAAACUCAAAGGAAUUGACGGGGGCCCGCACAAGCAGUGGAGUAUGUGGUUUAAUUCGACGCAACGCGAAGAACCUUACCAAGUCUUGACAUCCCUUGACGAUGCUGGAAACAGUAUUUCUCUUCGGAGCAAGGAGACAGGUGGUGCAUGGUUGUCGUCAGCUCGUGUCGUGAGAUGUUGGGUUAAGUCCCGCAACGAGCGCAACCCUUAUGGUCAGUUACUACGCAAGAGGACUCUGGCCAGACUGCCGUUGACAAAACGGAGGAAGGUGGGGAUGACGUCAAAUCAUCAUGCCCUUUAUGACUUGGGCUACACACGUACUACAAUGGCGUUAAACAAAGAGAAGCAAGACCGCGAGGUGGAGCAAAACUCAGAAACAACGUCCCAGUUCGGACUGCAGGCUGCAACUCGCCUGCACGAAGUCGGAAUUGCUAGUAAUCGUGGAUCAGCAUGCCACGGUGAAUACGUUCCCG